rnacentral:lncRNA from 1 species
GGGAGGGAUAAAUAACACUUUGUAAAGGAUCACUCUGAUUCAAACAAAAAAUUCUCUGAAACAUUCAUUAUCAAGAUGCUUGAUUUCUUGAUUGACAACAUAUUUGUUACGUUCGUAGGACGUGUUUUUCUACAGACUGUCGGCAUUACAAUAGGAACCAAUUGUGCCCCUCUUCUUGUCGACUUGUCUCUUUAUUAUUAUGAGGCUGACGUCAUACAGAAACUUCUUAGGAAGAAAUAUAAGAAGUUAG